AGGAGAAGAACAGAUCACAUGACCUCUUAUCAUGUGACCUGUAAAGAGAUGCGAGAAAAGGCGGGACUGGGCAGCAGCAGGAGCAGAAUGUGACAAGUCCUUGUACAGGUGCCCUGGAGGAAUUGAGUGACUUCUGAAAUACAAAAGCUGGACUUGCUAUAGGAAACUGCUCCACUGUUCAGAUGUAUCCUAUCCCGCUGCACAUAAUUUAAAUAAAAUAUGAAGAUUCCACUAACGGAUUCCUGUCCGAAAACAGGAGAAAAGGGUUACAGAGCAGCCUACAUUGAUUGGAUGAGCACAGCAGACUCGUUGAGGAAGUGAAUGCAUGGUGAGUGAGGGCGGGCUCAGGGCUUGUCUUGGACACAUCCUUUCCUGAGCAGUGGAUGUCAUAAUGAGUGGCUGCAGAACAAAAGGAUUUUUGAGCCAUAUACAGAAGCUAGACACAUAGCAAAAGACAU